rnacentral:rRNA from 1 species
AGAGUUUGAUCCUGGCUCAGGACGAACGCUGGCGGUGUGCUUCACACAUGCAAGUCGAGCGAAUGAAGUAGGUAGCUUGCUACUUAUGGAUUUAGCGGCGGACGGGUGAGUAAUAUAUAGGAAUCUGCCUUAGAGCGGGGAACAACAGACCGAAAGGUUUGCUAAUGCCCCAUAGGUAUGCAGUCUUCGGAUUGUAUAUUAAAGGAGUAAUCCACUCUAAGAUGAGCCUGUAUCCGAUUAGCUAGUUGGCGGGGUAAAGGCCCACCAAGGCUACGAUCGGUAGUUGGUCUGAGAGGAUGAUCAGCCACAAUGGGACUGAGACACGGCCCAUACUCCUACGGGAGGCAGCAGUGGGGAAUUUUACACAAUGGGGGAAACCCUGAUGUAGCGACACCGCGUGAACGAAGAAGCCUUUUGGGGUGUAAAGUUCUGUCGGCUGGAACGAAAAAAAUGACGGUACCAGCAAAGGAAGCAUCGGCUAACUACGUGCCAGCAGCCGCGGUAAGACGUAGGAUGCAAGCGUUGUCCGGAUUUAUUGGGCGUAAAGAGUUCGUAGGCGGUUAUUUAAGUCUGGUGUUAAAUACUGUGGCCCAACCACAGAACUGCAUUAGAUACUGGAUGACUUGAGUGCGGUAGAGGCGAGUGGAAUUCCCAGUGUAGCGGUGAAAUGCGUAGA